AUUGAACGCUGGCGGCAUGCCUUACACAUGCAAGUCGAACGGUAACAGGUCUUCGGAUGCUGACGAGUGGCGAACGGGUGAGUAAUACAUCGGAACGUGCCUAGUAGUGGGGGAUAACUACUCGAAAGAGUGGCUAAUACCGCAGAGAUCUACGGAUGAAAGCAGGGGAUCGCAAGACCUUGUGCUACUAGAGCGGCCGAUGGCAGAUUAGGUAGUUGGUGGGAUAAAAGCUUACCAAGCCGACGAUCUGUAGCUGGUCUGAGAGGACGAUCAGCCACACUGGGACUGAGACACGGCCAGACUCCUACGGGAGGCAGCAGUGGGGAAUUUUGGACAAUGGGCGAAAGCCUGAUCCAGCAAUGCCGCGUGCAGGAUGAAGGCCUUCGGGUUGUAAACUGCUUUUGUACGGAACGAAAAGCCCCGGGUUAAUACCCUGGGGUCAUGACGGUACCGUAAGAAUAAGCACCGGCUAACUACGUGCCAGCCGCCGCAGUAA
rnacentral:rRNA from 1 species